rnacentral:rRNA from 1 species
AUGGCCGUCGCCGACGCGGUGCUUCCCUCGCUGCCCCCGCCGGCGCGGACCGUCGUCGUGGUGCUGGCGCUCGUGCGCUUCGCCCUCGCUCCGAUGCUGGCGCUGGGGCGCGUCCUCUGCGUCGCGGCGGGGGCCCUCCCCUACCUGUGGUUCGCGGCCGCGUGGGUCAUCUCCGCGGCCUCGGCUGCGCAGCGCGCCGGGGAAAUCGCGUGGGAGUCAGCUGCAAAUCACUCGUUUAGGCUACCCCGUGCCGCGGUGCUUGGAUUGAUCACAGAUGUGCCCUUCUUCCUGCUACUUGUGACUGGUCUUCUGUUGGCGAUGAUGUCACAUGUGGAGGGAUCAAUAUCUCAGGGAGAAAUGGUUGGUUUAGUAGUCGCAGAUGUGGGGAUUUUUGGUAUGCACGCGAUAUCUUGCAUUCUCAUCAUUCCAGCUCUAGCACUUGGUGUCUGGAGGGAGGACCUGGCGGACCGGAAAGCACCAUCGCAGUUUUGUUGA